GGAGGGUCCAAGCGUUGUUCGGAAUCACUGGGGGGCGUAAAGCGCGUGUAGGGCGGGCUUGGGCAAGUCGGGUGUGAAAUCCCGGGGCUCAACCCCGGAACUGCACCCCCGAAACUGCCUCGCUAGAGUCCCGGAGAGGGUGGCGGAAUUUCCGGUGUAGAGGUGAAAUUCGUAGAUAUCGGAAGGAACACCAGUGGCGAAGGCGGCCACCUGGACGGUGACUGACGCUGAGACGCGAAAGCGUGGGGAGCAAACAGGAUUAGAUACCCUGGUAGUCCACGCCGUAAACGUUGAGUGCUAGACGUCGGGGGUAUUGACCCCUCCGGUGUCGAAGCUAACGCAUUAAGCACUCCGCCUGGGGAGUACGGUCGCAAGACUA
rnacentral:rRNA from 1 species